CCUACGGGUGGCAGCAGUGAGGAAUAUUGGUCAAUGGCCGGAAGGCUGAACCAGCCAAGCCGCGUGAAGGACGAAGGUGCCAAGCAUUGUAAACUUCUUUUGUCAAGGGACAAAAUCAGGCUCGAGAGCCUGACCGAGGGUACUUGAAGAAAAAGCAUAGGCUAACUCCGGUCCAGCAGCCGCGGUAAUACGGGGGAUGCGAGCGUUAUCCGGAUUUGUUGGGUUUAACGGGUGCGUAGGCGGGCUGUUAAGUUAGCGGUAAACGCCCGGGGUUCAACUCCGGCGAGCCGUUGAAACUGGCUGUCUUGAGAGGACGAGAGGUAUGCGGAAUGCGCAGUGUAGCGGUGAAAUGCUUAGAUAUUGCGCAGAACACCGAGUGCGAAGGCAGCAUACCGGCGGCGAUCUGACGCUGAGGCACGAAAGCGUGGGUAUCGAACAGGAUUAGAUACCCGAGUAGUC
rnacentral:rRNA from 1 species